rnacentral:rRNA from 1 species
GACGAACGCUGGCGGCGUGCUUAACACAUGCAAGUCGAACGGAAAGGCCCUGCUUGCAGGGUACUCGAGUGGCGAACGGGUGAGUAACACGUGGGUGAUCUGCCCUGCACUUCGGGAUAAGCCUGGGAAACUGGGUCUAAUACCGGAUAGGAGCCAUUUUUAGUGUGAUGGUUGGAAAGUUUUUUCGGUGUAGGAUGAGCUCGCGGCCUAUCAGCUUGUUGGUGGGGUAAUGGCCUACCAAGGCGGCGACGGGUAGCCGGCCUGAGAGGGUGGACGGCCACAUUGGGCCUGAGAUCGGGCCCAGACUCCCACGGGGGGCAGCAGGGGGGAAUUUUGCAAAAGGGGCGAAAGCCGGAUGCAGGGACGCCGGGUGGGGGGUGACGGCCUUCGGGUUUUAAACUCCUUUCCCUGGGGAAGAAGCUUUUUGGGACGGUACCUAGAUAAGAAGCACCGGCCAACUACGU